rnacentral:rRNA from 1 species
GUGCCAGCAGCCGCGGUAAUACGGAGGGAGCUAGCGUUGUUCGGAAUUACUGGGCGUAAAGCGCACGUAGGCGGCGAUUCAAGUCAGAGGUGAAAGCCCGGGGCUCAACCCCGGAACUGCCUUUGAAACUAGAUUGCUAGGAUCCUGGAGAGGUGAGUGGAAUUCCGAGUGUAGAGGUGAAAUUCGUAGAUAUUCGGAAGAACACCAGUGGCGAAGCGACUCACUGGACAGGUAUUGACGCUGAGGUGCGAAAGCGUGGGGGAGCAAACAGGAUUAGAUACCCUGGUAGUCC